UACGUAGGGUGCGAGCGUUGUCCGGAAUUACUGGGCGUAAAGAGCUCGUAGGUGGUUUGUCGCGUUGUCCGUGAAAUUCCCUGGCUUAACUGGGGCGUGCGGGCGAUACGGGCAGACUGGAGUACUGCAGGGGAGACUGGAAUUCCUGGUGUAGCGGUGGAAUGCGCAGAUAUCAGGAGGAACACCGGUGGCGAAGGCGGCUCUGGCG
rnacentral:rRNA from 1 species